ensembl:lncRNA
AGAAGGGACUGGGUUUCAUUACUGGGUUUCUGAAGAGGUUACUGGCUUUCACUGGGUUUCUGAAGAGGUUACUGGGUUUCUGAAGAAGGGACUGGGUUUCAUUACUGGGUUUCUGAAGAGGUUACUGGGUUUCUGAAGAAGGUACUGGGUUUCAUUACUGGGUUUCUGAAGAGGUUACUGGGUUUCUACAAAGGCUCCUGGGUUUCCAAACACAUUACUGGAUUUCUGAAGAAGUUGCUGGAUUCUCCUUCCGCUUCUUCCUUUUCUUUAUUCUCCUUUUUUCUUCUCCUACCAUUCCUUGUUUUUCCCUCCAUCUUCAUUUCCCUCACCUUUUCCUCAUUCUGCUUUAUCUUCUCAUCCAUUUUCUCCUCCUUUUUAAUCUUCACUUUAGUCUUGCUCUCCUCUUCUCAUCUUUUACUUCAUCCUCCUCUCCUUCUUCACCAUCUUCUCCUUGUUCUUCUUUCCCCUAUUUUUUGUCCUUCUGAAGUCCUAAAAACUGACUCAAUUCCUGAACCAGUUCCUGUAGAAGAGCGUUUUUACUGUGUUCCAUUCCGCAGUAUGCUUGUAAGAUUGUGACACUUAAUUUUACUUCUUUGUUUGCCAUCUUCUUUUCAGAACUACAGGAGCAACUUCAGGAGGAAGUGAAGCACAAGAUGGAGAUUAAGGAGGAGGUGAAGUUGAAUAUGAAGUUGGAGCUUUAUGAGGAGGUGAAGCAGAAGAUUGAGCUUCAGGAGGAGCAGCACAUGCAGGAGAUUCAGCGACUGAGGAGUUACUACAGUGAACAGAUCAGAGAAACGGAGGAACGCUACACCAACCAGAUCCUCCUUCUGCAGGACCGACUUCAGGACAUGACUCCAGCAGACACCUUGCACAGGUAACACUAACAUCUGGAGUUUAAGGCUCUUUUACAGAUGUUAGGUUUUGUGUCUAUUCAGCAUUCUUAUUACAACAUGUAGUGUGGAUUUGUUCAGUGCUGCCCCCUCCUGUCCAGUAGGUGAUUUCACACUUUGUGUGUGUGUGUGUGUGUGUGUGUGUGUGUGUGUUUUCCAGCAUGCAAAGCAUUUCUGCACACCUACAAGAGCAACAGCUUCAGGUAAGUUACAGUACACUACUGGCUUGAAC